rnacentral:rRNA from 1 species
GACGAACGCUGGCGGCGUGCCUAACACAUGCAAGUCGAGCGAGUGAAUCUCCUUCGGGAGUGAAGCUAGCGGCGGACGGGUGAGUAACACGUGGGCAACCUGCCUCAUAGAGGGGAAUAGCCUUUCGAAAGGAAGAUUAAUACCGCAUAAGAUUGUAGCUUCGCAUGAAGUAGCAAUUAAAGGAGCAAUCCGCUAUGAGAUGGCCCGCGGCGCAUUAGCUAGUUGGGGAGGUAACGGCUCACCAAGGCGACGAUGCGUAGCCGACCUGAGAGGGUGAUCGGCCACAUUGGGACUGAGACACGGCCCAGACUCCUACGGGAGGCAGCAGUGGGGAAUAUUGCACAAUGGGGGAAACCCUGAUGCAGCAACGCCGCGUGAGUGAUGACGGCCUUCGGGUUGUAAAGCUCUGUCUUCAGGGACGAUAAUGACGGUACCUGAGGAGGAAGCCACGGCUAACUACGUGCCAGCCGCCGCGGUAA